GGAAAUUUUAUGUUCUUGUUCACUUGUAUCUAUGAGAUGAGGAUAGAUUUUACGGAACAAGCUAAGAGGGAAUCAGGUGAAAAGCCUGAGCGGUCCCGCCACUGUGAGCAAUGAGUCGAAUUUCGUGACUGUGUCAUCCACUAUGAGAAUGGGAAGGAGAAAUGAGACGAUGAUGUGCAAGCCAGGAGACCUGCAUAAAAUUAUAUUACAAAU
rnacentral:ncRNA from 20 species